GGGGUCUUGGCCUAACCAGGUAUGGCAACAGGCUCCAGACCUGUAGAUUGAGGGUUCAAAUCCCUCAGACCCCACCA
rnacentral:tRNA from 1 species